AGUGAACGCUGGCGGUAGGCCUAACACAUGCAAGUCGAACGGCAGCACAGUAAGAGCUUGCUCUUACGGGUGGCGAGUGGCGGACGGGUGAGGAAUACAUCGGAAUCUACUUUUUCGUGGGUGAUAACGUAGGGAAACUUACGCUAAUACCGCAUACGACCUACGGCUGAAAGCAGGGGAUCUUCGGACCUUGCGCGACUGAAUGAGCCGAUGUCGGAUUAGCUAGUUGGCGAGGUAAAGGCCCACCAAGGCGACGAUCCGUAGCUGGUCUGAGAGGAUGAUCAGCCACACUGGAACUGAGACACGGUCCAGACUCCUACGGGAGGCAGCAGUGGGGAAUAUUGGACAAUGGGCGCAAGCCUGAUCCAGCCAUACCGCGUGGGUGAAGAAGGCCUUCGGGUUGUAAAGCCCUUUUGUUGGGAAAGAAAAGCAGCAGGUUAAUACCCCGCUGUUCUGACGGUACCCAAAGAAUAAGCACCGGCUAACUUCGUG
rnacentral:rRNA from 1 species